rnacentral:rRNA from 1 species
CCCUUAGAUGUCCUGGGCCGCACGCGUGCUACACUGACGCCUACAGCGAGUACUUCCCAGCCCCGAGAGGUGGCUGGUAAUCAGCAAUAGGCGUCGUGAUGGGGAUAGAUCUUUGGAAUUAUGGAUCUUGAACGAGGAAUGCCUAGUAAGCGCAGGUCAUUAGCCUGCGCUGAUUAAGUCCCUGCCCUUUGUACACACCGCCCGUCGCUCCUACCGAUUUCGAGUGGUCCGGUGAAUCUUUCGGACUGCGCGCGGCCUCGUGCCGUGUCGCGGAAAGUCAGGUAAACCUUAUCACUUAGAGGAAGGAGAAGCCGUAACA